UUUUUCGAGACGGCGAUCAAAUUGGAUCGGAUAAACAUUUGAAGAAACAUGGAUAUAACAAUUUAAACGGGGGACUCACUUCCAGAAAUUCCAAAAUGUCACAAAUGCUGCAGUGAUUUUGACUACCAUCAAAGUGGUUCCCCCUAAAGCCAUGUGUGCCUGUCUACAUGGACAGCCAUCAUUCAUGGCCUAUGUGAAAUGCAGGCAUUAUCCUGGCAGGAAGCUGAGCAGGUGUUCCUCAGUGGCCCUUCUUAUCACUCUAGUGAAGUCGAGGAAUUUGACAGAGCAGUUUCCAAAAGACAGAAAAAGAAGGAAAAAAAUCACCUGCAGGAACAAGAUGAUGUUUAGGUGAUUGUUCAAUAAAGUACAGAAUUGUUUAUUAUUGGUGUUUUGUCUAUUCUUAUUUAAGUUUAGCUUCGGAUUCAAAAUAUCAAAAAACAGGUUUUGUAAUCAGUGGCGGCUGGUGACUUCUUUUUCUGAGGGCGCAUGAUGCGAAGUUCGUCACAACAUGUAUGUAGCCCGUCAUGUGUGUGGUACGUAAUUUCAAAAUAUGUGUUCUGCACUUUGAGAGAUCGUAUGUGCAUCACGUGUCCUGCCAAAAUAAGUGUCUGCUGCAGACGCGUCAAAGGGUUUAUGAUAAAAGAGACGCUCGCGUUUGCCAGAUACUCGCAUAAUCUCAUGCGUAAUCAGAGUUUAAUGUUAAGGGAGUGUCUUUUGGAACAUGAGCGUCUCUUUUAUCAUAAACGGUUUUGAUGCGUGUGCAGCAGGCACUUAU